UCCGGCUUAUCACCGGCGGUUUCUUUAGAGUGCCCAACUAAAUGAUGGCAACUAAAGACGAGGGUUGCGCUCGUUGCGGGACUUAACCCAACAUCUCACGACACGAGCUGACGACAGCCAUGCAACACCUGUGUAGGGCCCUUGCGGACACCGUGUCUCCACGGCUUUUCCCUACAUGUCAAGCCCUGGUAAGGUUCUUCGCGUCGCGUCGAAUUAAGCAACAUGCUCCGCUGCUUGUGCGGGUCCCCGUCAAUUCCUUUGAGUUUUAGCCUUGCGGCCGUACUCCCCAGGCGGAGUGCUUAAUGCGUUAGCUGCAGCACUAAAGGGCGGAAACCCUCUAACACUUAGCACUCAUCGUUUACAGCGUGGACUAC
rnacentral:misc_RNA from 1 species